GACGAACGCUGGCGGCGUGCUUAACACAUGCAAGUCGAACGGUAAGGCCCUUCGGGGUACACGAGUGGCGAACGGGUGAGUAACACGUGGGUGAUCUGCCCUGCACUUCGGGAUAAGACUGGGAAACUGGGUCUAAUACCGGAUAGGACUACUGGCUUCUUGGUUGGGGGUGGAAAGCGUUUGCGGUGUGGGAUGGGCCCGCGGCCUAUCAGCUUGUUGGUGGGGUAAUGGCCUACCAAGGCGACGACGGGUAGCCGGCCUGGGAGGGUGACCGGUCACACUGGGACUGAGAUACGGCCCAGACUCCUACGGGAGGCAGCAGUGGGGAAUAUUGCACAAUGGGCGCAAGCCUGAUGCAGCGACGCCGCGUGAGGGACGACGGCCUUCGGGUUGUAAACCUCUUUCAGCUAUGACGAAGCGCAAGUGACGGUAGUAGCAGAAGAAGGACCGGCCAACUACGUGCCAGCAGCCGCGGUAA
rnacentral:rRNA from 1 species